GUCAGAAAAUUCAACAGGUCAGAAUGUUGCAGGGGUUGUCACAUAACACAGAUUCUAUUCCUCUGAGAGAUGAUCAGAUAAUAUCUGCCUCACCUAAAAGCAAACGUAUAUAAACCAUUUUCUCUCUCUUUGAAGGAACACUGCUUCCAGUGAGUCCCUCUGCUGCUGCUGCUUUGAUUCAUCAUUGCAACAAGAUGACUUCCGUCCUUCUUUUCACUUUGUUCCUUUGUGGAUUUGGCCUUGAAGUAAACGUGAGUAAAGUCCUUCUGUUCUGUUUGCUGUGCAGGAAAUAUAUACAGUUAAAGAUUUAGCUUUUAGUGGUUUUCUCAGUGAAUCACUGA